CACGUAGGGUGCGAGCGUUGUCCGGAAUUAUUGGGCGUAAAGAGCUCGUAGGCGGUGUGUCGCGUCGGCCGUGAAAACCUGCAGCUUAACUGUGGGCGUGCGGUCGAUACGGGCAUCACUGGAGUUCGGCAGGGGAGACUGGAAUUCCUGGUGUAGCGGUGAAAUGCGCAGAUAUCAGGAGGAACACCAGUGGCGAAGGCAGGCUC
rnacentral:rRNA from 1 species